UUUUCUCUCUUUCCUCCACCUCUCCUUUUCUGUCUCCAGGGAAUAGCCUCUGUUCUGCAGCGUAGGUCCGAUAACGAGGAGUAUGUGGAGGUCGGACGCCUCGGACCCUCUGACUACUUUGGUGAGAUCGCCCUCCUGUUGAACCGUCCCAGGGCAGCCACCGUAGUCGCUCGUGGUCCGCUGAAGUGUGUGAAGCUGGACCGGCCUCGCUUUGAGCGUGUGCUGGGUCCGUGCUCAGAGAUCCUCAAGAGGAACAUCCAGAGAUACAACAGCUUCAUCUCCCUCACAGUGUGACACCUCAGCCCCUCUGGGCUCCACCAGCAGGGGUGGGCAGCAUCAGCAUCAGAGUUUGGGUCUGUGGGUGGGGUGAGGUUAGGAGAAGGGGUAAAGGACAUGGGUUUUACAUCCACAACUACAGGGCGCUCAUUUCCUGCCUUUUUUCCAUGUUGCUCGUUUAUUUUCUUUUGAUCUUGUGCACUUUGACUUGACCUGUGCUGUCACGUAGCUUUAUGUCAAAAUCAACAUGCAGGAGUGUAAAAAUCAGAUCAAGGGCCGAGAUCAUUCAACUUAAUACAGGUAAAUGAGUCAUUUGUACAGUGUGGCAACUGUAUAUGAUGCAUGCUUCUAAACUGACAGAGAAGGGUGUUUGCACUUUCAUGAAUUUAUGAAGGGUACAGUCGAAUUCAGGAAAAACGAAGGAAGUGAAGUCAUGUUUACGUCCAGCUGGCUGUUGUUUGCCUAUUUUUUUCACAGUGUGAAAAAAAAUAAAAUGUGGCUGUUUCAUUUUUAGUGCUUCUUAUGUGUGCUUUUACUGCUAUUAUCAGUUGGGGGAUUUAUUAAAGGCAGUGAUAUGUUGAAUUAAGAUUUUAAUAUUAUGUCAGCCAAUAACAGUUAGCUUUUUCUCAAAUAAUCCUUUCUGUUCUCAGUCUGAUCUAUGAGCAGUAAAUGUUAUCAGUCCGGUCCACAAAAACACAAACAACCUGACAUGAAACACACAACUGUUCUCUAUAUGCUUGCACUGUCUCAGGACUAGGUCAAUCCUCAAAACACACACACACACACACACACACACACACACACACACACACACACACACACGUCUUUCCUGUUGCUUUCUUACGCUGUUUUUGUUUUAUGUUACAGUAAAUUGCUAGAUGACAGCUUUUGCACCACUUAAGAGUUUGUAAUGUUGGUUCAAUACUGAUGUUUGAUUUAGCACUUUUUAAGACAUUACUUAUAUGAUAUAAUUAUAUAAAAUAAAUAUGUAAAAAAAUAUGUAUUUGUGUUGCUUUCCUUUGAUCUAAUGUUAUCUGUCAAAGAUGCACAACUGACCUAGUGACCAAUGUUGUAUACAAUGGGACCUUAUGAAAAGAAUAUUUUAUGUCUUUCUUUCAACUAUCAACCCUCUUGGGCAAAUAAAGAUUAGCUUCUGAAA